rnacentral:rRNA from 1 species
CAGUAGCCGCGGUAAUACGUAGGUGGCAAGCGUUGUCCGGAAUUAUUGGGCGUAAAGCGCGCGCAGGCGGAUAGGUCAGUCUGUCUUAAAAGUUCGGGGCUUAACCCCGUGAUGGGAUGGAAACUGCCAAUCUAGAGUAUCGGAGAGGAAAGUGGAAUUCCUAGUGUAGCGGUGAAAUGCGUAGAUAUUAGGAAGAACACCAGUGGCGAAGGCGACUUUCUGGACGAAAACUGACGCUGAGGCGCGAAAGCCAGGGGAGCGAACGGGAUUAGAUACCCGCGUAGUCCCUGUCUCUUAUACC